GAACAAGCCUUGCCUGUUGCCGAGGAGCCGGAUUGAGCCGGAGUGAACUCGUGGUGUACCUGUUUGCUCUGUUCACCUAUGGAGACUCACAAAGAGUCCCUGUGCUGCAGCGAAUUUCAGCGAUGCCAGUUUCUUCGCGAUGAAAUGGCUGAAUCUGGCGAGGAGGGGGCCGUGUGUGUAACAUCUCACCCAGGCUUUACGCCUCAUCUGAACCGUUGGGUAUUGGACACUUAUUUCCGGACCCAGAAAGUCAACUGGAAACGCCAGCCAAAGCCCGCCGGGAGAAACGGACGUCUGAGCACAGAUAUAGGCUAACAUCUUACCGGCAUUUCCUGGAGUGGAUACUGCAAGGUGAGAGACUUGGGAGAGGCAAUCGCCUUGUUUUGCCAGCGUGUGUUGUCCAGGCCAUUAGGGCUAAUUACCCAACACAAGAUGGGCAGUACCGUGGCUAUCAGGAGACGGUAGAUGCCCAAGAUGAGCUGUGAUAUUUAGCAAACUCACCAUACGUUUUGUUUUUGUAUAUAGUUUAUAUUUUAUGAAUAAAACUUCAAAUUCAUGUU